rnacentral:lncRNA from 1 species
GAGACUAAGGUGUCAGUAUGUUCUUCAAGCUGCUCUGCUCCUGGGCCCAAGCUAUUCUCCUGCCUCAGCCUUCCAAGAAGCUGAAACUACAAGAACACAAGACUGUACCUGGCUUGCAAACACCAUUGCUAAUAAGAAGAUAUUGUAAGACUGAUACCUAAGAGAUAAGAGACAUGGAUCCCUGAGGUCGGUCCCCAAUACGACAAGACAAUUUGAUAUCAUAAUAGAACACUGCAGAAACAAUGCUGAGUGAAGAAGAGUAGAAAUGGGAAGACUUGGUUGAGCGGAAACUGAGUUCUUGAAAAGAGGAGAUGCUUGAUGAGGGCAUGGAAACCUAAGGUCUGUACCCAAAACUACAGGACUAUUUGACAUCAUAAUAAAACACUGCAGAUAUGAUGCUGAGUAAGAGUAGAAAUGGGAAGACUUGGUUGUGCAGUAACUGAGUUCUUGAAAAGAGGAGAUGCUUGAUGAGGGCAUGGAUCACUAAGGUCUGUUCCCAAUACAAGAAGACUCUUUGACAUCAUAAUAAAAUACUGCAGAUACGAUGCUGAGUGAAAAAGAGUAGAAAUGGGAAGACUUGGUUGUGCAGAAACUGAGUUCUUAAAGAGAGGAGAUACUUUAUGAGGGU